rnacentral:rRNA from 1 species
UGAGCAAUCUGCCCUUCUCUUCGGAAUAAGCGUUGGAAACGACGUCUAAUGCCGAAUACGACCUCCUUUCGCAUGAUCGGAGGUGAAAAGCUCCGGCGGAGAAGGAUGAGCUCGCGGCCUAUCAGCUAGUUGGUGUGGGUAAUGGCCCACCAAGGCGACGACGGGUAGCCGGCCUGAGAGGGUGACCCGGCCACACGUGGGACUGAGACACGGCCCAGACCUCCGUACGGGAGGCAG